GUUCAUUGCCUAUGUCAAAAUUUACUUGUUAUUUAAAAACUAAGCAUCUGUGCAGCAAAUUUUAUGAAUCUAACUUGCAUGUGGAGCUUUGAUUAAUUCGAAUUCAUUUAGGACUUGAAAUUGAAAUCAUUUUUGGGAUGUCAAACCUCUAAAUAAGAACACACCUAAGCCACCAACUGCUAAAGUUACAAUGAGAGGCAAGGUAAUGGAGUCAACAUCUACAGCUCUGUUUAUCCUAUCUGUUCUCUCUUGGCGAGCCCAGUACUCAUGAAGCAGAUUGCUCAGAUUGUCUAACUGGUGCAUGAUCUGGCGUUGUCCUCUUCCAAUUUGUAGAAUCUCUUCCAUCAGUGGUGACUCCCUAGCUAAUUGUGAUGAGGAUGAGGAAGUUGGUAGCAGUGAUCCAGUUAAUGCACCAUUACCCAAACCAGCAACAAAAACAGAAGUGGGUCCAGAGCCAUUGCAGGCUUCUGCCUGCAUUGCCAAGUUUUGUUGGCUAGCUGAAACUUUCCUGAUAGUGAACUUGGAAUUCAGCUCCUCAAUCCGAGAUGUGAACUCAUCCAUCCUCUCAUUCAGUGUGGCAAUCUGUUCAGAGAGUUGAGUAAUAACACCCUGGUUUGCAAGUGUGGCUGGUGACUCUGGAGUUCUUCCGUCAAACCUUCUAUUAUUAACAGCAAGUCUUGUCAACUUGGACAGAUUCUUGUCCCGUUGAUUUGCAUAUGAGAGUGAUACACUACUGUUAAUAUGAAUAUAAAAUUGUCAGAGGAAAUAAGUUCCUUAAAUUUGUAAAUAUUAACAAAGCUUUUGGGAGGAUUUACACAAGCUGGCAGAGGAAAUAAAUUCCCAAAAGCUGGGAUCUACACAAGUUGUUUCACUAUUCAAAAUUUUCAAGUCACUGCAAGGAUUUAUUUGUCCCAAAGAAAAUACACAUGAAUUAGGAAGAAAAAGAAAAUUUUUUAAAAACAUCACGAGUUGAAUUAAAAGAUGAAUGUUUUCAAUGGCCAGAAUACUGUGUUAAACAAAACAUACACAGGGCAAUGCUAACCCACACAGAGGUCUGGUUAUUUAUCUCCUGAACUUUAUUUCAAUUUUCCUUUUCAAUAUCCUCUACUUUAAGAUGGCAGAUAAUCAAAAUUUGACCAGAAUAAGAGAGUACCGGCUCAGAUACUUAUUUCUCCUAUCCGCAGAAGCCCGAGAAAGGGCUUCUUUGGGGCUAGAAACCAAAUCAUCAUCUAUGCUGAGCUUUGUCUUCAAAUCAUCUGGUAGUGCCUGCAUGUUGGUAGGAUAAGUAAGGACUACGCAAAAAUUGGGUAAAGCAUAAUGAACUAUGAGAAUCAUACCAUAACGUCAUUGACAAGCUUCUCCAGCUGAAUCUGUUCUAUGUAAGUACGAGGAACAUAUGAACCAUCCAAGCCUAGUUGCUCUGCCACAUACUUAACAUACAGACGAUCUCUACCUUGCACCUUUAGUCCAGGAAUAGCAUGACUUUAGGUAGUGCUAAGGUUUAAAAAAUUGAUCAAUCUAAGUACCAAUGAUGGACUACAUGUAGUAUUAUACAGCAAAAUAUAAAACUGCUAGUCACUAGACAACAUUAACAAUUUCCUACAACUGCCAAACUGAUGAACCAAAUCUACAUUUCACUGCCAAAGGAAAUGGUAUCUUUAAAGUGACAGUAGGAGUAAGGUGCAAGGAAAUUCAGUUAGUUUAUUGCCAUAGCUAUUUCAACAAGGAGGAUUGACUUGAAACUCAAGAAAGUGUGAUUAUGUUAAUAAGCAUAAUUAAGCCAAAACCUGGGCUGAUGGAAGAACUCCCGAAAAAACAUAGGGCAAAGGCAUUGCUGAAAUGAGAAAAGCUGGCAUCAACAGACAAAAUUGGGGUGGCAAAAAGUAGAAUAGAACUGACAAUUAGAAGCAGAAGUAGAAAACAUACUUGGAUGGAAACUUUACCUACAUUUACUAAAAAAACAUUCAAUUGGCAGACACAGAAUAAUCAUCACUCAGAUACAUGCUAUAAAGGAUUAGACUUCAUUGCAAUCAAUAUCUGAUAUAAUAAGUAUCAUAAUAUCUUGCAUGCAACUCUUGUCAUUACCAAAUUUCCACUUUCAUUCUCAAUUGAAACAAGUUAGUUAGAAGUCUGAGCCUCAGUUCCAAGUUUCACUUAAGUUGAUUGCACUUUUAUUCAGAAAGGAAUAAUACAAUGAACUUCAAAAAAUAUGAUGUUAUUAACAGCAGCACAUCUUUUGGUUCCAUAAUACCUGAACAUACUGGCGAUUAAGUUGUUCUAACCAGUCAGUUUUCACACACACCCUGUUGUCACUGAAGACGUGGCUGCUUCUUUUCAGGAUGGUUGCAAUUGUGUACCCCAAAGCCAUUAGCCCUCCCAAAAGGCGCACGCUAACUUCAAAAGUUAUUCUAGGUGAGAUUAUGAAUGGACUGUCCGUAACCCAUUCCUCGAACAUGAGAUUGUACUUUCCAUCCCUAUUCCUCAUCCUUAGAUAUGAUUGACAUGCUUCAGGGUCUUCACCAGGUGGCAGAAGAUAUAUGUCAUAAGUUUCUUCUUUUGUUUCAGUGUACUCUUCAGAAAUCACAGCCUUGAUUUGUUCAACUGCAACUGAUCUGGUUGACUUUAGAAUAUAAGUAGGGCUCUGAAAUCCAGUGAAAGGAUUAAACUUGUUAAUUAUUUUAAUAUGUGCUGUUUGGAGAUCUGGCUCAAUAAAAGCCUUGUACAUGGGAUAAACCUUGGGAGAAAAAUGUGACAAAAUACAGGUCAAGGAAAUGCCUCAUAAUGAAUUAAUGAAGCAACACAAUGAAAAACCCAGGGAAAAGCAUCUAUGAUGAGACAGUUAAAGCACCGUUUCAGAGAUUUGGUGAAUUAUUUCUUCAGGUUCUUGUCCAGCACGUUGAAUGUCCCGUAAAACACGUUUGACCAGAUCAAAGUGAACUCCACCUGUUAUAGAUACACGUAGAUCUAGCAAUGGUCGCAGUCUCUCACUUAAUGCAUAGAUGCCUUCAAUAAUCACAAUGCGGGAGCUAGGGACUUCAACUGUCCUAUUAGAAGAAUGAGGACAAUGAAGACUUAAGAACACUAGCAUAAGUUAACAAUCAAAUUUUUGUCUAUGAUAUUGAAAACACAUUCAGAGGGGGCGGUGCAGAAUGGGGGAGAGAAACAUGAUGAUGAUGAAUAUGAGCAAGAAUGCAUAAUGAAUGAACUAUCAAAUAUAUAGAAGUCCACAUGAACUUGAAGAUCAACUGAACUAGCCGUAUUUCUUGCCUUCUCAUCUCAUGAUAUGUUCUAAACAAUUAGGCUAUCAUUAAUGCACCAUAAACUUAUUUUCCUUAUUGGUUUCAUCUCCUGUUCAUCUUCCUUGAAUAAGCAGGAUAAAUGGAGUUGGCGUGAAACCUAUGAUAAAAGUUUUCAUGAGAUGAAAAAUAGAGACAGAAAGAACCACAACCUGUAACCUAUGCGAGAGCUUGUCUUGAAGUCGUAUAUUGGAACCUGAACAGCAUUCCCUGCUUUCAAACCAUGUAUAUUAUCGAGAAGAGUGUCAUAAUCCGUCAAACGUGGGUCAUCAAAGUUGCCAUCAAUGAUUCUACUAGAAUCAUUGUAAUUGUCCAUUGUAAUGACAGCAAGGCUGGGCAUAAAGUUGAGCAUCUUCUCAGUGAACACAGUCUUUCCAGCUCCAGAUGGACCUGCUACUCCUACCAAUAUUAUUCCAUCAUUCUUCUGUGACAACAACUGGCACGCACGGAUUACUAUGAAGAAACCUUUUUCAAAUGACAAUGUAUCUUCAAUUGGUGCAAUCUCAUAUCGAUCAGUGUCCUUCUUUUUAACCAGCUGCACCUGAUCUCUUAGCAGACCAGAACGCCGCCUAGGUGAAUCAACACCAGGAGUUGUAUCUUGAGCCAUCAAAGAGCUGGUAAUACAGUUCCCCUCCUAUUCUUGAAUUAUUUAGAAUUUUGGGUUGAAUCUCCUCGAAAUCGAUUAUAAUAGAGUAAAUCUGAAAGGUCUGGAACUUGAGAAGUGAAAAUUGGAGAGUAGCUUCUGAAACUUCAUAGAAGCCGUUAGGAGUCUCCAGUGACCAGACACACAGAGAUAAGGAGAGAAAGAAGGCGUGGUGGUUUUUU
rnacentral:misc_RNA from 1 species